GAAAAGAUGAAAGAACAUUUAUUUUAUAUGAAAUCCUCCGAAGCAAUUCACUUCAGAAUAAAAUCCACAAACCCCUCUUUGUUCUUCACUUCUUGCUCCUUAAACAAGGAACAAAAAGUGGGGAAAAAAAAAAGAUUGAUAGAUAUUGUGGAUAGAGAUAACUGCAGCACAAACUCAAAAGCAAAUGAUUACAAAAUUAAUCU
rnacentral:lncRNA from 1 species